rnacentral:rRNA from 1 species
AGGACGAACGCUGGCGGCGUGCUUAACACAUGCAAGUCGAGCGGAAAGGCCCUUCGGGGUACUCGAGCGGCGAACGGGUGAGUAACACGUGAGCAACCUGCCCUUAGCUCCGGGAUAGCUCCGGGAAACCGGAAUUAAUACCGGAUACGACCACGGCCGACAUCUGCUGUGGUGGAAAGGAUUCCGGCUAAGGAUGGGCUCGCGGCCUAUCAGCUAGUUGGUGGAGUAACGGCCCACCAAGGCGACGACGGGUAGCCGGCCUGAGAGGGCGACCGGCCACACUGGGACUGAGACACGGCCCAGACUCCUACGGGAGGCAGCAGUGGGGAAUAUUGCGCAAUGGGCGAAAGCCUGACGCAGCGACGCCGCGUGGGGGAUGAAGGCCUUCGGGUUGUAAACCCCGUUUCAGCGAGGGACGAAGCGAAAGUGACGGUACCUGCAGAAGAAGCGCCGGCUAACUACGUGCCAGCAGCCGC